rnacentral:rRNA from 1 species
CCUACGGGAGGCAGCAGUGGGGGAUAUUGCACAAUGGGGGAAACCCUGAUGCAGCGACGCCGCGUGUGGGAAGACGGUCCUCUGGAUUGUAAACCACUGUCCCCAGGGACGAAAAUGACGGUACCUGGGGAGGAAGCUCCGGCUAACUACGUGCCAGCAGCCGCGGUAAUACGUAGGGAGCGAGCGUUGUCCGGAAUUACUGGGUGUAAAGGGCGUGUAGGCGGGAAAGCAAGUCAGAUGUGAAAACCAUGGGCUCAACCUGUGGCCUGCAUUUGAAACUGUUUUUCUUGAGUACUGGAGAGGCA